rnacentral:sRNA from 1 species
AGUUUUCACAUCAUCAGUGCUUCAGAAAAUGACAUUCAUAUGUAACUGAAAAAUGUCACUUAAAUUGAAAGUGAUUUUUAAGUCAACAUAAAUACCACAUCAGAACACAUUUUCUCUUUUUUGAUCUCACAGAAUACCCAAAGGAUCAGUAGUUCUCAAGCCACUCAACCUCUUGCUACCCCAGUCGUGUCUGUGACAACCCCAAGCUUGCCUCCGCAAGGACUUGUGUACUCAGCAAUGCCGACUGCCUACAACACUGAUUAUUCACUGACCAGCGCUGACCUGUCAGCCCUUCAAGGCUUCAACUCGCCAGGAAUGCUGUCGCUGGGACAGGUGUCGGCCUGGCAGCAGCACCACCUAGGACAAGCAGCCCUCAGCUCUCUUGUUGCUGGAGGGCAGUUAUCUCAGGGUUCCAAUUUAUCCAUUAAUACCAACCAAAACAUCAACAUCAAGUCCGAACCGAUUUCACCUCCUCGGGAUCGUAUGACCCCAUCGGGCUUCCAGCAGCAGCAGCAGCAGCAGCCGCCGCCGCCACCGCAGCCCCAGCCACAACCCCCGCAGCCCCAGCCCCGACAGGAAAUGGGGCGCUCCCCUGUGGACAGUCUGAGCAGCUCUAGUAGCUCCUAUGAUGGCAGUGAUCGGGAGGAUCCACGGGGCGACUUCCAUUCUCCAAUUGUGCUUGGCCGACCCCCAAACACUGAGGACAGAGAAAGCCCUUCUGUAAAGCGAAUGAGAAUGGACGCGUGGGUGACCUAAGGCUUCCAAGCUGAUGUUUGUACUUUUGUGUUACUGCAGUGACCUGCCCUACAUAUCUAAAUCGGAACUGAAUAUUUGACUGUUAACCUUUUUCCCAUAUGUCAGUGUGGCAUGGAGCAUAUGGACUUGACAGACAUCUCUCACCCAGACGCCCAUGUGUGAACACACGCACAUCCACAUCUCUGGGUGGAAACCAGCCUAGAGUGCGGACGACGCUAAUGGUGUUGCUUUAGAACCGUCUUUUCUUACCCUUUUAGACUCGUGUUUUGUAUGAGACACCAUUGCAAGAAAAUUUUAUCCCUCCAGAAGUAUUUUAUUACUAAAGAACAAAAGCAAAAAAAGCUGAAAUUGCACUGGUUAAAGUACAGUUUCCAACAGCUGUCCUUCCUCAGUACUCUAAUCGCUACUCCACUGCGAGUGGAAGUCACCGUUGUGUGUACACAGGUGGUCCCAAUCAAAACUCCAUCUUUUGAGCCCAAUUAUGUCCAUUGUGUUAUAGACUAAAUCAGGGGUUUGUUCUACAAGAACAAUACAUGUUUUACCCUUUCCUUUAACUAG